CCCUUAGAUGUUCUGGGCCGCACGCGUGCUACACUGAGUGGAUCAGCGGGUCAGGUUGCGCGAAAGCGUUUCCUAAUCUUUAAAUCCGCUCGUGAUGGGGAUUGACGGUUGCAAUUUUCUGUCAUGAACGAGGAAUACCUUGUAAGCGCGGGUCAUCAUCCCGCGCUGAAUACGUCCCUGCCCUUUGUACACACCGCCCGUCGCUCCUACCGAUUGAGUGGUCCGGUGAGGCUUUGGGAUCUGAGCGGAAAGAGCGUGUCGCUGUUUCUGCUCGGAAAACUCAGUCGAACCUUAUCAUUUAGAGGAAGGAGAAGUCGUAACA
rnacentral:rRNA from 1 species